rnacentral:rRNA from 1 species
GAUGAACGCUAGCGGGAGGCCUAACACAUGCAAGCCGAGCGGUAGAGUCUCUUCGGAGCCUUGAGAGCGGCGCACGGGUGCGGAACACGUGUGCAACCUGCCUUUAUCUGGGGGAUAGCCUUUCGAAAGGAAGAUUAAUACCCCAUAAUAUACUGGAUGGCAUCAUCUGGUAUUGAAAACUCCGGUGGAUAGAGAUGGGCACGCGCAAGAUUAGAUAGUUGGUGAGGUAACGGCUCACCAAGUCAGCGAUCUUUAGGGGGCCUGAGAGGGUGAUCCCCCACACUGGUACUGAGACACGGACCAGACUCCUACGGGAGGCAGCAGUGAGGAAUAUUGGACAAUGGGUGAGAGCCUGAUCCAGCCAUCCCGCGUGAAGGACGACGGCCCUAUGGGUUGUAAACUUCUUUUGUAUAGGGAUAAACCUAGAUACGUGUAUCUAGCUGAAGGUACUAUACGAAUAAGCACCGGCUAACUCCGUG